rnacentral:tRNA from 1 species
UCCCGGGUCGUUCAGCGGUAGGACGCGACACUCUGAAUGUCGCUACGGUGGUUCGAUUCCAUCCCCGGGAGCCA